GUGGGGAAUAUUGGACAAUGGGCGAAAGCCUGAUCCAGCCAUGCCGCGUGUGUGAAGAAGGUCUUCGGAUUGUAAAGCACUUUAAGUUGGGAGGAAGGGCAGUAAGUUAAUACCUUGCUGUUUUGACGUUACCAACAGAAUAAGCACCGGCUAACUUCGUGCCAGCAGCCGCGGUAAUACGAAGGGUGCAAGCGUUAAUCGGAAUUACUGGGCGUAAAGCGCGCGUAGGUGGUUUUGUAAGUUGGAGGUGAAAUCCCCGGGCUCAACCUGGGAACUGCCUCCAAAACUGCAUGACUAGAGUACGGUAGAGGGUAGUGGAAUGUCCUGUGUAGCGGUGAAAUGCGUAGAUAUAGGAAGGAACACCAGUGGCGAAGGCGACUACCUGGACUGAUACUGACACUGAGGUGCGAAAGCGUGGGGAGCAAACAGGAUUAGAAACCCGGGUAGUCC
rnacentral:rRNA from 1 species